rnacentral:rRNA from 1 species
GACGAACGCUGGCGGCGUGCUUAACACAUGCAAGUCGAACGAUAAGGCCCAGCUUUUUUGGGGUGCUCGAGUGGAAAAGGUGAGUAUCACGCGUGUAACCCCUCCCUAAGUCUUUGGUAUACCUUGGGGACUGUGGGGAUAAUCCGGGAUGGGCGCUCCCGCCGCGUGGGGGGGUGUGGAAAGUUUCGGCGGUUGGGGAUGGACUCGCGGCUUAUCAGCUUGUUGGUGGGGUAGUGGCUUACCAAGGCUUUGACGGGUAGCCGGCCUGAGAGGGUGACCGGCCACACUGGGACUGAGACACGGCCCAGACUCCUACGGGAGGCAGCAGUGGGGAAUAUUGCACAAUGGGCGGAAGCCUGAUGCAGCGACGCCGCGUGCGGGAUGACGGCCUUCGGGUUGUAAACCUCUUUCGGUUGGGACGAAGCGAAAGUGACGGUACCUGGAAAAGAAGCACCGGCUAACUACGUG